CCUGCUCUUUCGAUGAUCGCCCAGCACUCUUGCUCCGCAAAAGUGCUGGGAGGAACGUCCGGGCACCACGCGAACGCCUAGUGGGUAACGCCCAUCUAUCCGUCACAUAUCCGGUAAAGGCGGAUACGGACCAGUACCACAGAGACGAGUCCCGCGCAUGCGGGAAGUGAAACGCCUCGGAGUACCGAGGUCCAGCACUCUUGCUCGCAAAAGUGCUGGGUUGGCAAACUCUAGGUGGUGCAAGGAGGAUUUGGGUCGUCGGAAUUACGCGGUGGUUCCGCCGCGCCGAUCACCCCUCCGCACAGUGCCCCGUAGUGGUGGCAACACCUGCUACCGGGGACGAGGUCUUCGGGUAACCGGGACCCCAGAGAGAUGAUCAUCCACUCCGCAACCCUUGCACAGCAAAGGUGCGGCGAGACAGAACCCGGCGUACAGAAGAGCGGGAAAC
rnacentral:RNase_P_RNA from 2 species